UGCGCCAUCUUGCACCCGCGGCCUUUGUUUAGGACGGCUGGAUGCGGAGGACACUGUUGAGCCUGAGAGAGGAGGAGCAGCUCAAAAUUGUAGAGGGGAGCCUGAACAGGUGUGCGGCAGCUGAAUCAAUCAGGGAGUAAUCACCAUGGAUGGAGAGAAACACAGUCUACAACCACCACAAUAAUGCGGUUAAGUAAGUGUCCCUCAUUUUGUGAAAUCACAAGGGUCAAGACAUCUCAAGUGUAAGAGAUAAGCCUUGCCCUGAGAAAACCACCUGGAUGAUCAUCAUGGUGUCUCCCCCAACAAACAUUCAACUAGUGACUGCCAAGGACAACAGACCCACCAUCAACAACUGGGACUCUGGUGAUCUAGAUGCCACGCUGCCAUUGACUAGAAUCUGGGAGUAUUCUGCAGAAUCUUGAAUUCAUUGUUCAUGCCUGGCAUUCCACUGAGUUUCACCAAACUUCUGAAAACUCCUGCUCUUUAGCAUAUUCUGUCUCAUGUUUCUACAAAGAUUUAAAGUGAAUAAAGGGACGUACAAAGAAAAUAAAUGGAAACUAGUGAAGUGGCAAGGAAUCAAGGACUAUCGGAAAGUAAGUCCAGGAAUCCCUAUGGAAGAGGAACUAUAUGCAGUAUACAGUAGAGGUGAGAAUGAAUGUGGUAUCUGCUGCGCGCUUUCUUUUGCAGUAUCUCUCUUUACCAACACUGCCCAAGACGUUCAUCUCAGCUAAUUC